AUUGAACGCUGGCGGCAUGCCUUACACAUGCAAGUCGAACGGCAGCGCGGGGCAACCUGGCGGCGAGUGGCGAACGGGUGAGUAAAAUAUCGGAACAUACCCUAGAGUGGGGGAGUAACGUAGCGAAAGUUACGCUAAUACCGCAUACGCACUAAGGUGGAAAGUGGGGAGUCUUCGGACCUCAUGCUCAUGGAGUGGCCGAUAUCUGAUUAGCUAGUUGGUGAGGUAAAGGCUCACCAAGGCGACGAUCAGUAGCUGGUCUGAGAGGACGACCAGCCACACUGGAACUGAGACACGGUCCAGACUCCUACGGGAGGCAGCAGUGGGGAAUUUUGGACAAUGGGCGCAAGCCUGAUCCAGCCA
rnacentral:rRNA from 1 species